AGAUGGGCAUGCGUAUGAUUAGAUAGUUGGUGGGGUAACGGCUCACCAAGUCAACGAUCAUUAGGGGUUCUGAGAGGAAGGUCCCCCACACUGGUACUGAGACCCGGACCAGACUCCUACGGGAGGCAGCAGUGAGGAAUAUUGGUCAAUGGGCGAGAGCCUGAACCAGCCAAGUCGCGUGAAGGAAGAAGGUUCUAUGGAUUGUAAACUUCUUUUGCACGGGAAUAAAGUGCGGUACGUGUACCGUAUUGUAUGUACUGUGCGAAUAAGGAUCGGCUAACUCCGUGCCAGCAGCCGCGGUAAUACGGAGGAUCCGAGCGUUAUCCGGAUUUAUUGGGUUUAAAGGGUGCGUAGGCGGGAGAUUAAGUCAGUGGUGAAAGUUUGCAGCUUAACUGUAAAAUUGCCAUUGAAACUGAUUUUCUUGAGUGUAAAUAAGGUAGGCGGAAUGUGUUGUGUAGCGGUGAAAUGCAUAGAUAUAACACAGAACCCCGAUUGCGAAGGCAGCUUACCGGGCUACAACUGACGCUGAGGCACGAAAGCGUGGGGAUCAAACAGGAUUAGAUACCCUGGUAGUCCACGCCGUAAACUCUGAAUACUAACUGUUUGCGAUAUACAGUAAGCGGUACAGCGAAAGCGUUAA
rnacentral:rRNA from 1 species